UAGGGAAUCUUCCGCAAUGGACGAAAGUCUGACGGAGCGACGCCGCGUGAGCGAAGAAGGUCUUCGGAUCGUAAAGCCCUGUUGUUAGGGAAGAAGAAGUGCCGUUCGAACAGGGCGGCACGGUGACGGUACCUAACGAGAAAGCCCCGGCUAACUACGUGCCAGCAGCCGCGGCAAUACGUAGGGGGCGAGCGUUGUCCGGAAUUAUUGGGCGUAAAGCGCGCGCAGGCGGUCCCUUAAGUCUGAUGUGAAAGCCCACGGCUUAACCGAGGAGGGUCAUUGGAAACUGGGGGAGUUGGGGGGAGAAGAGGAGAGCGGAAUUCCACGGGUAGCGGUGAAAUGCGUAGGGAUGUGGAGGAAAACCAGUGGCGAAGGCGGCUCUCUGGCCUGUAACUGACGCUGGGGCGCGAAAGCGUGGGGGGCGAACAGG
rnacentral:rRNA from 1 species